rfam:Macleaya cordata isolate BLH2017 scaffold1703, whole genome shotgun sequence.
GGGUGCGAUCAUACCAGCACUAAUUCACUGGAUCCCAUCAGAACUCCGCAAUCAAGCGUGCUUAGGCGAGAGUAGUACUAGGAUUGGUGACCUCCUCGGAAGUCCUCGUGUUGCACCCU